rnacentral:pre_miRNA from 1 species
GGAAGUUAAGAAACUGUUUCUUAACUUUUAACUAAAAAAGCUAAAAACCAGUUCUUAAAGUCUUUAUUUAAGAACCGAUUCUUAAUUUUUUUAGUUAAAAGUUAAGAAACAAUUUCUUAACUUCC